UACGUAGGGUGCGAGCGUUAAUCGGAAUUACUGGGCGUAAAGCGUGCGCAGGCGGUUUUGUAAGCCAGAUGUGAAAUCCCCGAGCUCAACUUGGGAACUGCCGUUGAUACUAUUUGUCUUGAAUACCGUGGAGGUGAGCGGAAUAUGUCAUGUAGCGGUGAAAUGCUUAGAUAUGACAUAGAACACCGAUUGCGAAGGCAGCUCACUACGCGGUCAUUGACGCUGAGGCACGAAAGCGUGGGGAGCAAACAGG
rnacentral:rRNA from 1 species